rnacentral:lncRNA from 1 species
UUUUAUAUAGAUACAAUAAUAAUAACAAUUUUUGUUUAUUUUAACUUUUCUCAUGGCCUUGCAGGCUCCUACAUAUUUUCACUCUUGAAUUCUUAGCCAUGGAAUAUGAUGGCAAAUAUUGUCCAAGAGGAAGAAGGUGAGAUUACAUUUCGAUACUGGUACUUUGAUAAACAAAUACUGGACGACACUCGAUAAUACUAAAAAUAAAAUAAAAUAAGUUCAAAACUCAAUUAUUGUAUCAUAUAUUGUCCAAUACUGUAUACUAAAUGAACUAUACUACCUUAGCAGCCCAUUACUUUGUUCGGUUUAAUCCGAGGUUUCUCCACAACGGUGCCAUCAUUUCCAGCAAGUGCUCUGUAUUUAUC